AACAAACGCUGGCGGCGUGUCUUAAGCAUGCAAGUUGAGCGGCAAGGAGGAGAGAUCCUCCCUAGAGCGGCGGACUGGUGAGUAACGCGUGGGUAAUCUAUCGUAGGCAUGGGGAUAGUCACUAGAAAUAGUGGGUAAUACCGAAUACGUUCCAUGAGGGGAGUAUUCAUGGAAGAAAGGGUGCUACGGCACUGGCCUUAGGUGAGCUCGCGUCCCAUUAGCUAGUUGGUGAGGUAAAGGCCCACCAAGGCGAUGAUGGGUAGCCGGCCUGAGAGGGUGUACGGCCACACUGGGACUGAGAUACGGCCCAGACUCCUACGGGAGGCAGGCAGCUAAGAAUAUUCCGCAAUGGACGAAAGUCUGACGGAGCGACGCCGCGUGGAUGAAGAAGGCCGAAAGGUUGUAAAGUUCUUUUGCUAGGGGAAAUAAGUGAGGGAGGGAAUGCCUAUGGAUGACAAGGACUAGCGAAUAAGCCCCGGCAACUACGGCCAGGCACG
rnacentral:rRNA from 1 species